AAUAAACCCCUGUCUGAUUUAUGCAAAGUCAGAUUAAAAUUAGCUACACAAACUAAUGCACUUGAAACUUCACAGUCAUAUAUGGGAGACCUUGACUCCAAAAUAUCAUCAUAGUGAUGAUCUAAGUAAACAAAUACUAUGUACUCAUGAAACUACCAAGCACACGGCAAUACAUCCCUUGCUGAUUUAUGCAAAUUUGAAAUUAAAA
rnacentral:misc_RNA from 1 species